rnacentral:ncRNA from 1 species
CACCUCGAUGUCGGCUCACCUUAGCGCGGGGCUGGAGAAGGUCCCAAGCGUUUGGCUGUUCGCCAAUUAAAAAGGUACGCGAGCUGGGUUCAAACCGUGUGGGAAUUAAUCUUCGGAUUGAUUUCCACACCGUUUGAAUCCCUUUGAGUUUCUGUUAUCAGAACCCAAUAAAAAGAAUGUCUUUUCGUCUUGAAACUAAGAUAGAACCAACCAUGACACGGCGGUUGCAUGCAGGGAUGCAUGCAAACAAACUGACUCAUAUCGGUGGAACCCUACUCGAAAGAGGGGCGAUACCGAGGGAAGCGCAAGCGCCCGUAGAGACUGAAUGUCAGUCACGAAGAACUCGUGAUGUUACAGUCCGAUCCUUCCAGUAAUGGGAGUUAACGAAAUGCGUGAGACAGGUUGGUCUCCUAUCUACUACAGGCGUUGAUUCUUGAGGAGACUUGCCCCUAGUACGAGAGGACCGGGGUGAACUGACCUCUGGUCUACGAGCUGUCACGCCAGUGGCAUCGCUCGGUAGCUAUGUCGGGAAUUGAUAACUGCUGAAAGCAUAUAAGCGGGAAGCAAACUCCAAGAUUAGGAAUCGUUAUGAGGCUCCUAGAAGAUGACUAGGUUGAUAGGCUUUAGAUGGAAGCGCAGUGAUGCGUUGAGUCGAGAAGUACUAAUAUGCCCAGUUUUCUGUGCGG